UUUUGAAGAAUGUUGGUUAUAAUUUGAGAGAAUUUUGUGUAGAAUAUUUCUUUAUACUUUUCUAUUCUAAUUUUUGUUUGUAGUGAAACUGGUAAAAUUUUAAAAACGGGUAGUGGGAACGUUUUCUCUAUUGGUGCUUUUAGUAAAUUAGCGCAUUUAUGUAGAUAAAUUGGGGGCGAAAAUACGGACAGAAUGCGGGAUGAAAUACACCUGUUUGUUCAACUUUUCAAAGGAAAUGGUUCGAAUUUCGAAAGGACUUCGAGGCACUCAACGAUAUCCAAAUCCCGAGGCAUGUAUUUGCCGGCAAGGUACUGAUGAAGAAGCAAAUCGACGUUUUUUCGGAUGCGUCCGAAAGUAUACAUGGAGCAGCGAUAUAAGUGAGUUCAAAAGACAAAUCAAGGCCUUGGAGAAACCGGAUUAUUGCCGUUCCCAAAUUGAAAUCGCCUCCGCCAUUUCGUCACGUGGGACCACCGGUUCACACCACUAGGGAGUCUGGAGGCUUCUUCCACAUUCAGGUCAUGACUGAUGUCACUCAAACGCCACUGCAGCCGCCAUACAAGGAUGCCUAUAAGGCCUUCCUAAGCUAAUAGAAGAAUAAACAUAUUCUAAAGUGGAGUGACAAAGUAAAAGUAUUUCAUUAAACUAUCGUUACCAACUGCUUACAACCGAAAAUUUCUGUUUG
rnacentral:misc_RNA from 1 species